CCGGCUUCUUAAGGGUACAUUAUCGAGUAUUUCAGUAAAGGGAGAGCUACGCAAGUUCAAGUAAUAGCUAAUCGCAUCCAGUACAUCUCGAGCUGCCUUACCGAGCAAGCCAAAUAUAUCAGGCAAACCACCCGGAGGAAACUCCAGUCCAUUGAUAGGGUCUGUAGGAGUUAGACCAGGCCGAUAAUCAUACGUUUCCUGCCAUAGUUGGGGGUCGGCAUAGUAACCUGACGUUUUGCACCACUCACGAGAAUCAUUUGUGUGAAUCAGCUCCUCUGGUGGGUAUGCAGCCUUUUGUUGGAAGUAAAGGCGAGCAGAAUCUAAACCGGAUCUCAGUAGAGCUCCAUCACUAGCUGGAAACUGAAUGAUGGCAGCUGAAUAUUGAGCAAAUGAUUGUGAUAGAGUAGAGACUGAUAGCUUGUAAGAAUCUGAAGGAAUGCCUUCAGAAGGUAUGAGAUCAGUAAGCUUUACACGACCCAGAGAUGGCAGGCCAUUGCCUGCCAUUAAAAUCUUUCAACGUACCAGUUACGUUAUUUCCAACUAAAGGUUAUAUCACCUAUCGACAAUACAAAUUAAAAUCGGCAUAAAUCAAAGGAUUUAAGACAAUAUUAUCUGUCAUACAGAAAAUGGAAUAUAAAUAAGACAUAACGAUACCGCAUUGCAAACAAAUAGAAGCACCAAAAGUUAUUCCAGAUUAGUCCCUCUAUUAUAUGAACUGGAAAAAUACUGGCUCAUUUUGAAAUUUUCGUAGUGGAUAAUCAAUGGAAACUAAACUGAAAUAGAUUUCCGGGUGAAAGUACCUGCCAAGUCCCUUUAUUAUAUGAACUGGAUCACAUUAGUCCCUCUACUAUUAAAUGUAUCAAUUUAAUCCCUAUACUAUUAAAAAUAAUUAAAUAAAGCCAAUUUGUAACGAAGUUAACAUUCACUGUUUAAAAAAUGAAAUGAAUUUUUUUUUUUCCCAUUUGCAGUUCAACUCCAAACAGAAGAUUUCAUUUCAAAACCAUAAAAAUAUUUCAAAAUGUUAAUGAAAUCCUUUUAGUUGAUUCCUUUUAUUAGUGCAGGGACUAAAUUGAUCCAUUUAAUAAUAGAGGGACUACUAUGACCCGGACCCUAUAACGUAGCGACAACAUUCACCUAGAUUUCCGCCAUUGCAGCUAUAAUACUCCAAGCUAAUUUUUAGACUGAUUUGCCUAAUAAAUUUCAUAAUGAAUUUGGGAACUGAACAAAAUACUCGCUUUUAGAACCCUAAUUAUAUUUCUAACACUCCAAUCAAAUUUGUAAAAAUUAUUUCAUAAUGCCUUCAAUCACAUGCCAUCAAAUAUUCCACUUACAAAGAAAUAACAGCAAAAAAAGAAAGUGAAUUUGCUUUGAAAUUUAAUUUUUUUUAUGAUUAAAAAGAAAACAAACCCAAUUCAUGAAAUCAAACAAGAAUUAAAAUAAAGAAAUACCCAUCAAGAUCAACAUACAAAAUUCAUACUUCACAAUUAAGGAAAAAGAAAGAACAUGCCUUUGAUUGAUUGCAGCGUCUUACUGAUGCUAAAGUAAACGAAGCGAAAUAGUUAAUUGGAAGCUGAAAUGGGUAAAGCUGUGACUGCGAGAAACAAAAGAUGGUUAGGAAAAGAUUGAAUCUUUCCCGAGAAAAUCAGCAGCAAAAUUCUUUUGUUUAUCAAUGGAAGAUGCUUCAUCAUGGGCCUUGCUUGGUUAGAUUUGGGCUUGGAAGAGAUUAGUAAUUAUUAUAAAUUACUUUUUCUAGAUUUUUUUAUAAACAUUAGUUUUAUUUUUUUUUAUUUAUUAAAAUAUGGGAUUUAUUUCUCUAAAUUUAUUUUUCAAAUAUUAAUUCAACUUCAUCACUCGCUAAUAACAAUGUCGAAUUUGAUUAAUGUUAACGGUUUUCAUUGUUAUACAUAAUUUUAUCUAUAAAUUUUUUAAAAAUAUUAUUAAUUUAUUUAAAAAAAUAAAAAGAAUAUAUAUAAUCAAAUUUAUAAAAAAAAAACUAAUACGUAAUUAAAUUAGAAUAUAAAAUAGCAUUUUAUUUGAUUGUGUCUAAAAUAAAUUUCAUGAUUUUGUAAUUAGAAAACACAUUGUAUGAAAAUAAUGAGAAUAAAUAACUCUAAAUUAUGGCCUAUUGAUCACUCAAAAAUAAUAUAAGUUUAACUUGUACGGAAGAAUAAUGAAAAUAAAUAAAUAUAUAAUUUAUCUUAAAGGUACCUUUUUAACUUAAUUUUUUUAAUCACAGUCUUAUGUUUAAAGUUACAUCAGAAGUACAAUUACUUUGUAGCAUACUAAAUAUGGAAAUCAGUGUUUCACCCAUUAAAUUAUUUAAAAAUAAUCAUACCAAACAUCCUUAUUUUUAAAUUCUUUGAAUAUUGGUUAAUUUCGUAUUCACUAUAAAUUUAUUUUGGAUUUGAUUAUGCACUCCUCAUCCUCUCUAUCUCCAAAAUCAAAUACGUUAAUUUGAAUGUUGAUGUCAAAUGUCACAUAUAGGGGUGUUCAGUCGGUUAAUCGGUCCUGAAAUAACAUUAACUGAAUUAAUUGACCUUUCAAAUUUUUUACCGUUAACCGAAUAUAAUUUUUUUUUAAAAAUUAAACGAAAAUUAUAUGUUUUUUUUUAUUUUUAGUUAAAAAUUAAUCGAAUUAACCGAAUUGAAUCACUACGCAAUUAAAAACAUUACAUAAGUCUUGAAAUUAACACAUAAAUUAUUUGUAAUUUUUAUUAAAUUAUUUGUAAUUUUUAUGAUUGGGUUGGGUUGGAUAAUUGGGUUGGGUUAGAUACUUGAAUUUGGAUUGGGUUUAGGUGAAUAGUGGGCCUAUUUAUAUAUUAUAAUUUUAUUUAUUAAUUUUUUCGGUUAAACAGAAAAAAUUUCGGUUAACCUACCGGUUUCGAACUGAAUUAAUCGUUAACCGAAAAUUAAAAAAUAAUUAAUCGACCUCCGACCGAAAAAAUUUGGUUAACUGACCGAUUAACUGAAUUCUAAAAUAGGGUUUGUCCACUCUAAUUUUUUUUCCAAUUCAAUCACUUUAAUUAAGAUAAUUACUCAAACUAGUCAUUGUGUUAAAAAAUUUGUUACCCCACUAAAAGAUUAUUGAUGUGGCAUAUUAACCAAUUAAAUGAUGACACAUAGCUUUUUUUUUUUACUUUUGACAAAAAACUUAAGGACUUCUCUAUAAUUAAUCCAACACACUUCUUUUUUUCCCUCUCUUCUCACUCUUAACUCAAAAAGGAGAAAAUAGAACAGGCAUCUCAAAGCUACAUGCCUUUCACCAUUUUCUCAACAAUGGAUCUAUGGCAACUAUCAACGAUAACCAACCAUAACUAAAGAGGAAUGAACAUAUAUAAAUAAGAAUGGAUGUAUGGCAUGGUUAAGGCAUGGGCAAGGGCAAAAGCUUCAACCUUUAUAAUUCGUUAUAUGCAGGCAAUUCCAAUUUUGGGGAGCUAAGCCAAGAUUUGAAUAAUAACCUCAUGUUGAGAUAUUUUGCUAUAUUUAAAGAGUUUGGGUGCACACCUACAAGAUUUUACACGAUUUUUUAAUUUAUUUAUAGGAUAAACUAUACCACAGCUCUAUGUAUAUUGUCCUUUUUCUCUUUUGAUCAUUUAACUACCAAUUUUUUUAAUUUGGUCAUCCAACUAAUCAAGAUUUUUUUUUGUCCAUUUCCAUCAAGCGUUGUUAAAUCUCUUACGAGAGGAUAAAGUAGCAAUUAAAAAAAUCGAUAAUAACAAAUUUAACCCUUAAUUUUUACAUAUUAUAUCGAUUUAGCCAUAAAUUUAAAAAAAUUAACCCUCAAAGUUUACAAAUGGUUUCAAUUUGAUCCUCAUAUUUUUUAAUAAUUUUUAAUUUUAAAAAUAAUUUAUAAAAUUUUAAAAUUUAUAAAAUUAAUUAAAUGUUGUCAUGUCAUCUACGUGUCAAUCCACAAGCAUGCCACAUUAGCAAAGUUAACAAAUUAUCAAGGAGUUGCUUCUAUUGGUUUGAUUGUAAUUGCUAUUAUCAAUGAGUUGCUUUGUUUUCAUUUAGAUUCUAUGUUUGCAAGUCGAAAUUGACAUAUGCUAUGGAGGCUUGUCUAGAUUAUGAAUGAGAGCAUAUUGAGAGCACUUGUUUUCAUUCAUUGAGGAACUGUUUGGUGUAAGAGUGCAAAUUGAAUUGUAAACAUUGGGUGUUUACUUCCCAAGUUCUCAUGGAGAGAAUUUAGAGGUGGAUGUUCUAGUCUUUAGGUACAAUAGUGGGACUUCUACUUGGGGAGUGAUAGAAUAUGAUUUGCUUGUUGUAUUAUAGAUUAAAAAUUACAUUUAUAUUUUAACAACACAAAUUGAAUAACGCGAGUGACUAGUUUGAAUAAUUAUUUUAACGAGAAUAAUUAAAUUGAGAAAAAAAUUAGAGUGACCAAAAUAGGACAAACCGCAUUUUAGUGUGACCUUAGUGUAAUUUACCCUGAAAAAUAUCGUGUAGACUUGGUUAAGUUGACCUGCUUCUAAACUUUAUGUUUUGUUGAUACAGGAAUAUAGAGAUAAAAGUUGAAAUAGUAUUCGUUAUCAAAAUUUUGCCUUUCUUAUUCAAAUUCCGUGUUUUCCAUUACCUUUUCUUUCUUUUUUUCUCCUUUAGCGUUUAAGACCUAAAAAGUCUUAAAGAAUGUGGGAGUGGGGCUGUCUUCGUAGACUUCUUUUUGGCUCGGGUUUUGUAGUCUAUUCUUUUUUUCUCCUUUAGCUUUUAAGACCUAAAAAGUCUUAAAGAAUGUGGGAGUGUCAAGUGUGGCUUUCUUCAAAGACUUUUGUUUGACUCAACUUUUUAACCUUUUGUGGAUAAUUAAAUUUCCAAUUUAAUGCAUUUUGUUGGAAGAAACUUCCUUGCGCUUCAUUUUUUUUUGUGUUUUAGCUAAAACUUACUCUAUAUAUUUGGAGUUGUGAGCCAUGGCAAUUGCAACCAUGACUACUCCUCUUCCUAUUUCCUUUUUCCCUUGCCUUCUUCUCAUUCCCGCUAUCUGUUUUACCAUUUGUCAUGCCAAUUCCAACCUACUUUGCAUUCAGAGUGAGAGAGAAGCUCUUUUGAAAUUCAAGAAUCAUCUUAUUGAUCCUUCAAACAGGCUAUCGUCAUGGGUUGAAGGUGGGGAUUGCUGUGAAUGGACUGGUGUCGUCUGCCAUAACUCAACAGGCCACGUCAACCAACUGCACUUGGCCGCUCCUCUUUCAGAGCCUGAUGGCUUGGCAACAAAUGCUGAAUGGGAAGCUUACAACAAUUCCCUGCUAGGAGGCAAAAUAAAUCCUUCACUGCUGGAGUUGAAGCAUCUCAGUUCCCUGGACUUGAGCAAUAACAAUUUUAGCACCAUACAUAUCCCGAAAUUUUUCGGUUUGCUGGAGAGUUUAACAUAUCUUAACCUUUCUCGAGCACAAUUUCAGGGAGCAAUUCCUCAUAACCUGGGGAAUCUUUCAAAGUUGCAGUAUCUUGAUCUUCGAGGUAAUGGAGUGAGAAAUAUUGAAGCAACAAGUCUUCAAUGGGUUUCUGGACUUUCUUCCUUGCAGUACCUUGAUUUGAGCUACGCGAAUCUUUCUAAAGCAACUGAUUGGCUACAGGUAACAUUUAAACAUCCUUCUCUGCUAGAGUUGCACUUGUCAGCUUGCAUUUUGAAAGAUGAUCCAUAUUUGAUCAGUGUUAAUUCUUCAAAAUCACUGGCUGUUCUUGAUCUUUCUGGGAACAGCUUAUCUUCAGUACCUAAGUGGAUAUUUAGUCUUCAUGGUCUUGUGUCCAUUGAUCUUGGUAGCACUUAUUUGGAAGGCCCAAUUCCAGAUUACUUUGGGAACAUCUCGUUUCUUGAAGUUCUUGAUCUUAAUUGGAAUAAUCUCAAUUCGUCCAUACCCAAUUCCUUGUAUAGUUUAAACCGUCUUCAGUUCCUUAGUCUUGGCUAUAACCAGUUACAAGGAACAAUCUCGAGUGCCAUUGGAAACUUGAGCUCUGUUACUCACCUUGAUCUUUCAGUAAAUCAAUUAAAUGGUCAAAUUCCAUUGUCUAUAGGGGAGUUAUCAUCUCUGAAGUUGUUUGAUGUUUCAGAAAAUCAGUUAAACGGCCAAAUUCCCUUGUCUAUAGGGUAUUUGUCAUCCUUGGAGGAGAUUGAUGUUUCAGAAAACCAAUUAAAUGGUCAAAUUCCAUUGUCUAUAGGGGAGUUAUCAUCUUUGAAGUUGUUUGAUGUUUCAAAAAACCAGUUAAACGGCCAAAUUCCCUUGUCUAUAGGGCAGUUGUCAUCCUUGGAGGAGUUUGAUGUUUCAGAAAACCAAUUAAAUGGUCAAAUUCCAUUGUCUAUAGGGGAGUUAUCAUCUUUGAAGUUGUUUGAUGUUUCAAAAAAUCAGUUAAACGGCCAAAUUCCCUUGUCUAUAGGGCAGUUGUCAUCCUUGAAGGAGUUUGAUGUUUCAGAAAACCAAUUAAAUGGUCAAAUUCCAUUGUCUAUAGGGCAGUUAUCAUCUUUGGUGGUAUUUGAUGUUUCAGAAAAUCAAUUAAAUGGUACUUUUCCUCUAUCUUUUGGACGACUAGAAAGUUUGGAAAUUCUGGAUUGUGGGUAUAAUCUAUUAGAAGGAGUUGUAUCAGAAACCCAUUUUUCUAAUCUCACGAGAUUGACAACUCUGAAGGCAUCACACAAUCGGCUUAGAUUUGAACCAAACUCAAGCUGGAUUCCCCCAUUUCAAUGUGAAAGGAUCGAAUUGGGUCACUGGCAUCUUGGCCCAAAGUUUCCCCAGUGGUUAAAAUUCCAAAAGAAAUUGUCUUAUUUGGAUAUCUCCUAUGCAGGAAUUUCAGAUGUCAUGCCCACUUGGUUUUUGAACCUUCCCACUCAAUUUGAAUCUUUAAACCUUUCCUCGAAUCAACUUAGAGGAGAGAUUUCAUAUUUGAAUGUGAGAAGCUCUGUUGAUUUGAGUUCAAACCGAUUCAUAGGACCAUUGCCAACAGUAUUCCCAACUUUACAACUUCUAAUUUUAUCAAAUAAUUCAUUUUCGGGAUCUCUUUUUGAAUUAGUUUGUAAUUCAUCAAGUGGGGAUUUUCUGGAAGUUCUUUACAUUGAUAAAAAUCUUAUCUCAGGAGAUAUUCCAGAUUGUUGGAAUCAUUGGUCCUAUUUGUUCCUUUUAAAUUUGGGAAGCAACAAUUUGACCGGCAAAAUCCCACCUUCUUUAUGGCAUCUAAAUCUUACAAUGCUAAACCUUCGAAACAAUACAAUGUUUGGAGAAUUGCCAUCCACAUUGCAAAAUUCUCCAAUUUUGGUUAUGUUUGAUCUUAGUGAAAAUCACUUCAGUGGAAAUGUACCAGCAUGGAUUGGUGAUAAGCUCCACCUUGAGAUUCUAAGCCUUCGAUCAAAUAACUUUGAUGGGCAUAUUCCUCAUAAAAUUUGUGAUCUUCAAUUUCUUCAAAACUUGGACCUUGCCCACAACAACAUUUCUGGAGUUAUUCCAAAAUGUUUUAAUAAUUUAAGUGCAAUGGCCACACCAAACAAAACCAAUAAUUUUGUUCAUGCGGGGUAUGAAUAUGCUGCCUCAAUUUUUUUAAACGCAUUAUUGGUGUUGAAAGGACGAGAGGAUGAAUAUGGUAGCACACUAGGACUUGUUACGAGCAUGGACCUUUCAGCUAACAGUCUCACAGGAGAGAUCCCCAAAGAAAUUGGUAGUCUCGUUGGACUAUUGUCUUUAAAUUUUUCAGGGAAUCUCCUAACAGGAAAUAUACCAGACAGCAUUGGCAGCAUGGAGUUAAUGGAAUCUCUUGAUUUGUCCAUGAAUCGACUAAAUGGUGAAAUCCCUCCAAGUUUCUCCAAUUUGAAUUUCUUGAAUCACUUCAAUGUGUCCUACAACAACUUGACAGGACAAAUCCCAACAAGCACUCAGCUUCAAAGCUUUGAAAACUUGUCUUACGUGGGCAAUCAUCUUUGCGGACCUCCUCUCACUAAGAACUGCACCUCAAAUGGUAUUCCAAUUGACGUUGCAAAUAAUGGAAGUAGCAGGGAAGGAAGUAAAGUGAAUUGGCUUUAUGUCAGCAUAGUUCUCGGCUUUGUAACGGGAUUUUGGGGUGUAGUGGCUCCCUUAUUUUUCAUCAGGUCUUGGAGGCAUGCAUACUAUCGAAAGUUGGACCAUGUUGGACGAAAGCUGUAUGUGUCUUGGGCUACUAUGGGUAUGUAGUUUGAUGGGAAAAAAACAUGUGUAAACAUGUUGGUCUAAAGUUGGUAUAAUUUACUGGAGAUUGGAUCAAAGUGUGUUUUGAUUAUGUAUGAAUAGGUUUUGUUGUAUUUCAAUAAUAUACAAUGAAAAUAAAUUUCAGCAAAAAAUGUUGUUUGAUAAAUUCCAUCAGUUGCUUAGCUUAAUAAUUGAGUAGACGUGGCAGCCAUAGAUCUGGUCUUCUUCCUCCUUGAUCCUUCAAAUUAGGAGUAACAAAAAUAGUAGUAAAUAGGAUUAGCCUAUUUUUUUUCUGUCAUUUUCUAAUUGUUGCCAAUGGAUCUCAACAAAAAAAGAGUUCAGCUGUUGCUCUUCAUCCUUGGACUCACCCUUCUCAGUAAGACAGGUAACAACCUCAAAACGUUCUCGUUUUUGCAUUUGAUCUGGAAAAUAAAAGAAGUCGUAAAUGUUGGAAUUUAAAUCUCCAAGUUAAUUUCAAGUUUGUAAAAUUUAAUGUACUUGAUUGUUCUCUCUUCUUUGUUAACUUAUGGAUCAAAUUGGUAUACCUGUUUAGAGUUAUUUAGAUUUUUUAUUUUAAGGUAUAUAUUUGGAAUCAGCACAUUCAAACAUGAAAAUGAGCAUAGAAUCUUUCAAAAAUAUUCAAAAUAAUUUAUAAAAGUUUUAAUAUACUCGUGUGAAAUAUAUACCCGACAAAAAUCCUUUCAAGUUAUCGAGAUUCCAUCCACCCCAGUCAUAUAUGGUGGUUUUUUAAUUGCUUUUAAAAAUUAAGUUUGAAGCAAGGUGAAUCGAGUUUUUAACAAGGGUUACGUGUAGCUAGGGGCAGGCACCUAGAAAAUUUUCUAUUUAUAUCUUUUAAAAUUUUUUAAAUUUUAAAUUAGUAAAAGUAAAAUUUCACUUUGGUCUCUUUAGAAAAUGAUAAAAUUUUGAUUUAAUCUUUUAAAAAUUAUAAAGAUAUAAGCUAUUAAAACGGUGAAAUUAUAUUUUUACUAUAGUAAAAACUACAAUUUAAUUUCAGAAUUUUCCUACAAAAUAUUUCUGGCGCCCUAAUUUUUAAAUAGAAAAUAAACCUGAGAUUGGGAUUUAUUCCAUAGACUUAGUUGAUUUCGAACUAGUGUUUUUAAGAAAAAAUCUUAAUUAACAUUUUUAAAAUUAAUUUUAUUGUUACAAGACUAUGGAAGUGGAUAUAUUCUUUUAAUUUCAAAUGUUACACCAUUAAAUUUAAUAGAAUAAUUUUAGUGGCAAUAACUAUUUGACUUGAAUUUUUAAAUUAAAAAAAUGUAGGGAUUAAAUUUUUAAAAAUAAAAGUAAGAGACUAAAAUCUAAAUAUAUAAAAUGUAUAGUGAUUUAUAGCAUACUUUAACCUUUAAAUUUUUAUUUUAUAAUUUAAUAUAAAUAAAUAAUUAAUUUAAUAAGGAGGUCGGAAGCUACAGUAAUGUAUAUAUAAAAGUUUUAUUUUACUCUUAAGAAAAAGUUUGAGAAUUAAAUAAAGCAGAGUAAAGGAUGAAUUGAUUGAUUUUGAAUAAAUGUUGAAAAAUCAUAAUGCAAGAAGUAGUAAUGGUUUUCAAAAUUUUGCUUAAUACUAACCAAACAUAUACAAAACUUCCUUUUGGUUUUUAAGACCUAAAAAGUCUUAAAGAACGUGGGAGUGGGACUUAGGGUGGGUUUGGAUGGGCGAUUAGGUGCGGUGCGGUACGUUUAAUUUACUUUUUAUCUCACGCUACAGUAUCGCUACAGUGUCUAAUUUCACAGCCACCGCUGUUUUUACACUAACCGCAGGUAAACGCACCGUCCAUCCAAACUCACCCUUACUCCAUAGACUUAGUUUUCAAACUUUUAUGUCCAUUUGUGGUUUUAAACUUAUCGACCUUAAAUUAAAUUUUAAUUUGGUUGAUAUUGAUUUCAUUGUCAAUGAAAGAGGAUAUAGACUUAAGCGUACUUAAAUGCGUUUUCAGAAACAAGGUUUGAAAAAUAUUUAAUACACUAUGUAUUUAAGGUAUAAUAAUUUUUUAGAAAAAUGGAACACAAAUUUAUAAUAUGGGGUCUUAUAAUAUAUUAUAUAUUAAUUUGAUUCAUUUAAAGUUUUAUUUUUCUACAAGAAUUAAGUUCAUGAUAAUAAGAAAAGAAAGUUCAACUUUUAUUUAUUAAUAAAAUUUAUAUUCCCUUUGAAAUAAAAUUCAAUUAUUUUUUAAUUUUUAUUUUAACUUUUCAUUUUGUUUUAAUUUUUAAAUUAUUUGCUAAUAUGAGAUAUGAGAUAAAAUAGUACUACAUUAGCAUAAAGUACAUAUAAAUUGUUGUAACACCCUAAAUAAUUUAUUUUUGUUUCUGUGAAUUUUAAUAUAAAUGUGUAUUUGUUUAAGUGGUUAAAUGUUUUGGGUGUGUGUAUGAGGCAUUGGGUUCAAAACUUGGACCUUGCCCACAACAACAUUUCUGGAGUUAUUCCAAAAUGUUUUAAUAAUUUAACAGCAACGGCCACAACAAACAAAGCCAGUAAUUUUGUUUUUGAGGUGUUUAGAUAUGCUGACUCAUUUUUUUUUGAACGCAUUAUUGGUGUUUAAAGGACGAGAGGAUGAAUAUGGUAGCACACUAGGACUUGUUACAAGCAUGGACCUUUCAGCUAACAGUCUCACAGGAGAGAUCCCCAAAGAAAUUGGUAGCCUUGUUGGACUAUUGUCUUUAAAUUUUUCAGGGAAUCUCCUAACAGGAAAUAUACUAGACAACAUUGGCAAGAUGAAGUUAAUGGAAUCUCUUGAUUUGUCCAUGAAUCGACUAAAUGGUGAAAUCCCUCCAAGUUUCUCCAAGUUGAAUUUCUUGAAUCAUUUCAAUGUGUCCUACAACAACUUGACGGGACAAAUCCCAACAAGCACUCAGCUUCAAAGCUUUGAAAACUUGUCUUACGUGGGCAAUCAUCUUUGGGGACCUCCUCUCACUAAGAACUGCACCUCAAAAGGUAUUCCAAUUGACGCUGCAAAUAAUGGAAGUAGCAGGGAAGGAAGUAAAGUGAAUUGGCUUUAUGUCAGCAUAGUUCUCGGCUUUGUAACGGGAUUUUGGGGUGUAGUGGCUCCCUUGUUUUUCAUCAGGUCUUGGAGGCAUGCAUACUAUCGAAAGUUGGACCAUGUUGGUCGAAAGCUGUAUGUGUCUUGGGCCACUAUGGGUAUGUAGUUUGAUAGGAAAAAAAAACGCAUUUAUAAUUGAUGCAUUUGAGCUAGGUGUGUUGCUACAAGAUUGUUUGAUUUGAAAGAUUAGUUUUUGCGUCUAUCAACUCGCUUGGUGUGCCAACAAAACGGCCCACUCGGUUGCAUGAGCGGUUUUAUUAUAUGCAAACCACAUAUAAUAGGAUGUUCUUUCCCUUGCAUCUUUCUUGAAGAAUGUUAAAAUUAUGUCUUAUUUUGUCUUAUGUUGAUACGAAUGCAAAUUGUGGAUGGUAGAUUUGGGUGUAUGGGGUGAGCCUGUUGGCUCGGGUUUAGUAGUCCAUCUCAUCUUUGUGUUCACUUUUGCUUUUUUAUUUUCUCAUUAAUGAAUUUCUUCUCUAAAAUAAUAGUAAUUUUAGACACGUAUAAAAGCAUAAGUGUAAAUUACACCCAAGGUCACUAUAAAAUAGGUUUGUCCUAUUUUGGUCACUCUAGCUAAUUUUUUUCUCAAUUUAGUCACUCUAUUUAAUGUUAUUGUUUGAACUAGUUAAUAUCGUUAAAAAUUCUAUUAAUCCAUUAAUGGAUUGUUGUUGUGACACAUUAGCCAAUUGAAUUAUGACACGUGGCACCAGGGGCGGAGCCAAGGGGUUGGUAAUGGCUUUAGCUCCCUAAAAAGAUUUUCCAUUUAGGCCCCUUUAUUGUUUAUAAAAUUUUCAAUUACUAAUGGUAAAAUUACACUUUGGUACCUCCAAAAAUAAUAAAAUUUUGAUUUAAUUGGUCAUAAAGGUCGAUUUUUUGAAAAUUUAGAGAAAUAAGUUGUUUUUAGAGAGAGUGUAUAAAAGCGCGACCAACUGGACGCUCUUUCUGCAGAAGUGGCAAGAAAGCUUAUCUAGCUAGGCGAGCUUUUCUGCUGACAUGUCAGGAAAAAUGUGCCAAGCUGGACGCAUUUUCAUUGAAAUUUUCAAAAAACGUUUUCAACUUAGCGCACUUUCCUUGACAUGUCAAUAGAAAGCUCGCCCAACUGGUCGGGUUUUCACAUACUCUCUCCAAAAACGAUCGAUUUCCCUAGAUUUAAAAAAAAGAGAGUCCUAUUUAGUCAAUUAACAAACUUUUUUGGCAUAUAUGGCUAAUUUGGCCUACAAUUAAGGGUUUAAUUUAUGAUCACAUUAUAUAUUAUUAAGGCUCUGCUCUUCGAUAAUGUGGUCAUUAGGUCUAAUUGUUUGGCUGUUAUGACUGCUUGGACUCCGCCAAUAAUUGAUGGAUCUGGGCUAGGUGUAUUGUUACAGGAUUGUUUUGUGCUGAAAGAUUAGUUUAAGCAUCUGUCUUUUUUUUUUGGACUAGUCGGUGUGCCAACAAGACAACCCACUUAUUUGUGUGAGCAGCUUUCUUAUAUGCAAACCAUAUGAAAUGGGAUGUUUUUUCCCUUGCAAGUAUACCAUAUGUUGAUAUAAAUGAGGAUUACGGACAGUAGGUUCAAGUUUAUAGCGUGAGCCUAUUGGCUCAGGUUUAGUAAUUUGUCUCCUCCUUGCGUUGGCUUGUGUUUUGUGACUUUCUCAUUAAUAAAUUUCUUCUCUAAAAAUAAAUAGUAAUUUUAGACACACAUAAAAGUAUAAGGCUAAACUCACAUAUUUAUUAACUUCUUGUUUUGUGAAAUAUAUAUAUCACGGUAAGUACGUAAUGUUUCAAAUUUAAAUCAAUGCACAGUAGUUUAUAUUUUAUUUCAAUCAAAAUUUUAAUAAGUUUCAUAUUCAACUCAUUUCAAUCAAUACCAGUGUACCAAUCAGUACCAAUUGAUACAUUCAAAAUUUGGACAUUUUAAACUAAUUUCUAAUUUUUUUGUAAAAACCAUUUUAAUUUUACCAUAAUUACAUUUUAAUUUUAAAACAUACAUUAACAUAUAAAUAUAUUUAUAUGGAUAUAAUUAAGAUAUAUUUGCAUGUAUAUAUAUUGUAUAAUUAAUUUUUUAACCAAAAUAACAUAUAAUUUAUGAAGAAACUAAAACUUAGAAUAUAAAUAUAUAUGUGAAAAUUAUUUAAAUGUAUAUAUAAUUUAUCAAGAAAUUAAAUUUUAGACUAUAAAUAAUACUGAAGAAGAAAUUUCCCGGCUUCUUAAGGGUACAUUAUCGAGUAUUUCAGUAAAGGGAGAGCUACGCAAGUUCAAGUAAUAGCUUACAUCUCGAGCUGCCUUACCGAGCAAGCCAAAUCUAUCAGGCAAACCACCCGGAGGAAACUCCAUUCCAUUGAUAGGGUCUGUAGGAGUUAGACCAGGCCGGUAAUCAUACAUUUCCUGCCAUAGUUGGGGGUCGGCAUAGUAACCUGACGUUUUGCACCACUCACGAGAAUCAUUUGUG
rnacentral:lncRNA from 1 species